ACCGGGGCUAAUACCGGAUGGUUGUUUGAACCGCAUGGUUCAAACAUAAAAGGUGGCUUCGGCUACCACUUACAGAUGGACCCGCGGCGCAUUAGCUAGUUGGUGAGGUAACGGCUCACCAAGGCAACGAUGCGUAGCCGACCUGAGAGGGUGAUCGGCCACACUGGGACUGAGACACGGCCCAGACUCCUACGGGAGGCAGCAGUAGGGAAUCUUCCGCAAUGGACGAAAGUCUGACGGAGCAACGCCGCGUGAGUGAUGAAGGUUAACGGAUCGUAAAGCUCUGUUGUUAGGGAAGAACAAGUACCGUUCGAAUAGGGCGGUACCUUGACGGUACCUAACCAGAAAGCCACGGCUAACUACGUGCCAGCAGCCGCGGUAAUACGUAGGUGGCAAGCGUUGUCCGGAAUUAUUGGGCGUAAAGGGCUCGCAGGCGGUUUCUUAAGUCUGAUGUGAAAGCCCCCGGCUCAACCGGGGAGGGUCAUUGGAAACUGGGGAACUUGAGUGCAGAAGAGGAGAGUGGAAUUCCACGUGUAGCGGUGAAAUGCGUAGAGAUGUGGAGGAACACCAGUGGCGAAGGCGACUCUCUGGUCUGUAACUGACGCUGAGGAGCGAAAGCGUGGGGAGCGAACAGGAUUAGAUACCCUGGUAGUCCACGCCGUAAACGAUGAGUGCUAAGUGUUAGGGGGUUUCCGCCCCUUAGUGCUGCAGCUAACGCAUUAAGCACUCCGCCUGGGGAGUACGGUCGCAAGACUGAAACUCAAAGGAAUUGACGGGGGCCCGCACAAGCGGUGGAGCAUGUGGUUUAAUUCGAAGCAACGCGAAGAACCUUACCAGGUCUUGACAUCCUCUGACAAUCCUAGAGAUAGGACGUCCCCUUCGGGGGCAGAGUGACAGGUGGUGCAUGGUUGUCGUCAGCUCGUGUCGUGAGAUGUUGGGUUAAGUCCCGCAACGAGCGCAACCCUUGAUCUUAGUUGCCAGCAUUCAGUUGGGCACUCUAAGGUGACUGCCGGUGACAAACCGGAGGAAGGUGGGGAUGACGUCAAAUCAUCAUGCCCCUUAUGACCUGGGCUACACACGUGCUACAAUGGACAGAACAAAGGGCAGCGAAACCGCGAGGUUAAGCCAAUCCCACAAAUCUGUUCUCAGUUCGGAUCGCAGUCUGCAACUCGACUGCGUGAAGCUGGAAUCGCUAGUAAUCGCGGAUCAG
rnacentral:rRNA from 1 species